rnacentral:rRNA from 1 species
AACCUCCGCAAUGUGAGAAAUCGCGACGGGGGGAUCCCAAGUGCCAUUCUUAACGGGAUGGCUUUUCAUUAGUGUAAAGAGCUUUUGGAAUAAGGGCUGGGCAAGACCGGUGCCAGCCGCCGCGGUAACACCGGCAGCUCUAGUGGUAGCAGUUUUUAUUGGGCCUAAAGCGUCCGUAGCCGGUUUAAUAAGUCUCUGGUGAAAUCCUGUAGCUUAACUGUGGGAAUCGCUGGAGAUACUAUUAGACUUGAGACCGGGAGAGGUUAGAGGUACUCCCAGGGUAGAGGUGAAAUUCUGUAAUCCUGGGAGGACCGCCUGUUGCGAAGGCGUCUAACUGGAACGGUUCUGACGGUGAGGGACGAAAGUUAGGGGCGCGAACCGGAUUAGAUACCCGGGUAGUCCUAACUGUAAACGAUGCGGACUUGGUGUUGGGGUGGCUUUGAGCUGCUCCAGUGCCGAAGGGAAGCUGUUAAGUCCGCCGCCUGGGAAGUACGGUCGCAAGACUGAAACUUAAAGGAAGU